rnacentral:lncRNA from 1 species
AUAAGAUAUACCGGCUAAAAUAAUACCGAGGGUUAAAAAAAUUCUGCAAAAUAUAAAAAUAAACUAUUUUUGCUAUUUGCAACUUUAAUGUGAUUUUUUUGAUGGAACUAUGCUAUUGCUCCAGUGGUCAAAAUAAAAAUUAUACAACUGAUAUUAAAAUUAUCUAACUGAUGUUUUAAACUUACACCCACACACAUUCAAUAUUUAUAAACUAACAAGUAGUGCUUCCAGAGGAGCUUUUUAUAAAUUUGUGCAAACUUUGUUAUGGAAUUUUGCAAGCUUGGUCGAAUGGUCAAGCC